GACGAACGCUGGCGGCGUGCCUAAUACAUGCAAGUAGAACGCUGAAGAGAGGAGCUUGCUCUUCUUGGAUGAGUUGCGAACGGGUGAGUAACGCGUAGGUAACCUGCCUUGUAGCGGGGGAUAACUAUUGGAAACGAUAGCUAAUACCGCAUAACAAUGGAUGACACAUGUCAUUUAUUUGAAAGGGGCAAUUGCUCCACUACAAGAUGGACCUGCGUUGUAUUAGCUAGUAGGUGAGGUAAUGGCUCACCUAGGCGACGAUACAUAGCCGACCUGAGAGGGUGAUCGGCCACACUGGGACUGAGACACGGCCCAGACUCCUACGGGAGGCAGCAGUAGGGAAUCUUCGGCAAUGGGGGCAACCCUGAGCGAGCAACGCCGCGUGAGUGAAGAAGGUUUUCGGAUCGUAAAGCUCUGUUGUAAGUCAAGAACGGGUGUGAGAGUGGAAAGUUCACACUGUGACGGUAGCUGACCAGAAAGGGACGGCUAACUACGUG
rnacentral:rRNA from 1 species